ACAAUAUUCGGACCUUCGGUUUACCUUGCAAAAUCACUCGUGGAAGAUCUUCCCUUUGUCGU
rnacentral:pre_miRNA from 1 species